AUUGAACGCUGGCGGCGUGCCUAACACAUGCAAGUCGAGCGGCAGCGCGGGAGCAAUCCUGGCGGCGAGCGGCGGACGGGUGAGUAACGCUUGGGAAUCUGCCUGUUAGUGGGGGACAACCCGGGGAAACUCGGGCUAAUACCGCAUACGCACUACGGUGGAAAGCCGGGGACCGCAAGGCCUGGCGCUAACAGAUGAGCCCAAGUCGGAUUAGCUAGUUGGUAGGGUAACGGCCUACCAAGGCGACGAUCCGUAACUGGUCUGAGAGGACGACCAGUCACACCGGAACUGAGACACGGUCCGGACUCCUACGGGAGGCAGCAGUGGGGAAUAUUGGACAAUGGGGGAAACCCUGAUCCAGCGACGCCGCGUGGGUGAAGAAGGCCUGCGGGUUGUAAAGCCCUUUCAGUGGGGAAGAAAGCCUCGACCUAAUACGUUGGGUCUUGACGUAACCAUAGAAGAAGCACCGGCUAACUCUGUGCCAGCCGCCGACGGU
rnacentral:rRNA from 1 species